rnacentral:ncRNA from 17 species
AUAUUUGCGCCAGAUUUUGGUCUGUUUUUUCUUAAGAAAAAAUGGUUAAAAGGGAAUCAGGUGCAAAUCCUGAACAGACCCGCUACUGUAAGUUCUAUACAAGUCUUUAAACGUUACUAAUGCCAUUGCCCCGCUUGCGGGAUGAGAAGGCUGUUUUAAAGAUGGAACAAGUCAGGAGACCUGCCACAAUCACAUAGUUUAAG